CCUACGGGAGGCAGCAGUGAGGAAUUUUCCGCAAUGGGCGAAAGCCUGACGGAGCAAUACCGCGUGAGGGAUGAAGGAUUUUGGUCUGUAAACCUCUUUUCUCAAGAAAGAAGUUCUGACGGUACUUGAGGAAUAAGCAUCGGCUAACUCCGUGCCAGCAGCCGCGGUAAUACGGGGGGAUGCAAGCGUUAUCCGGAAUGAUUGGGCGUAAAGCGCCUGUAGGUUGUUUAUUAAGUCCGUUGUUAAAGCCUAGGGCUCAACCCUAGAAAAGCAAUGGAAACUAGUAGACUAGAGUAUGGCAGGGGUAGAGGGAAUUUCUAGUGUAGCGGUGAAAUGCGUAGAUAUUAGAAAGAACACCGGUGGCGAAAGCGCUCUACUGGACCAUUACUGACACUCAGAGGCGAAAGCUAGGGUAGCAAAAGGGAUUAGAUACCCCUGUAGUCCUAGCCGUAAACGAUGGAUACUAGAUGUUGUGCAUUAUGUACAGUAUCGUAGCUAACGCGUUAAGUAUCCGCCUGGGGAGUACGCUCGCAAGGGUGAAACUCAAAUGAAUUGACGGCUGAAGGACGUGCGACGACGACGACGAGGAGGAGG
rnacentral:rRNA from 1 species